rnacentral:tRNA from 1 species
UCCCUGGUGGCUCAGAGGUUAAAGCGUCUGCCUGCAAUGCGGGAGACCCGGGUUUGAUUCCUGGGUCGGGAG